rnacentral:rRNA from 1 species
UACGUAGGUGGCAAGCGUUGUCCGGAUUUACUGGGCGUAAAGAGCGCGCAGGCGGUCGUUCAAGUCGCGUGUGAAAGCCCCCGGCUCAACUGGGGAGGGUCACGCGAUACUGAUCGACUUGAAGGCAGGAGAGGGAAGUGGAAUUCCCGGUGUAGUGGUGAAAUGCGUAGAUAUCGGGAGGAACACCAGUGGCGAAGGCGACUUCCUGGCCUGUUCUUGACGCUGAGGCGCGAAAGCUAGGGGAGCAAACGGG